UACGUAGGGUGCAAGCGUUAAUCGGAAUUACUGGGCGUAAAGCGCACGUAGUCGGCUUUGCAAGUCGGUUGUGAAAUCCCCGGGCUCAACCUGGGAACUGCAUCCGAGACUGCAUUGCUAGAGUAUGGGAGAGGAAAGCGGAAUUUCUGGUGUAGCAGUGAAAUGCGUAGAUAUCAGAAGGAACAUCAGUGGCGAAGGCGGCUUUCUGGACCAAUACUGACGAUCAGGUGCGAAAGCGUGGGGAGCAAACAGG
rnacentral:rRNA from 1 species